CUCCUGCAGGGGCCAUGGGCAUGACUUGGUGUUUGGUUGGUAGCUGCACAGCAUUACUGAAUGCACACCGUGGCUGUGACUUCUGUGUUGAUAGGAAUUUACCUCUAUGGAACCGUGGUGGCACACACACAGCACCACUGCUUACAGCAGGUGAUCAGCCUUUCUUGGUGUGCUACCCGUGAACAGCGAAUAGAGACCGCCCGCUGGAAAGCACAGCGGCGCUCAUCUGGGUACCGGCUUCUUGCGGGGAGGAGGUGGCUGGAAAAGCGUCUGAGUCUAAGGCUCCAGCACGGGGGACCCCUUUCCACUGUUUCUCUUAUGGAUUGUGUAAGUAUGCAUAGAUGCGUGUGCACGUGUGCACACACACGGGCCAUGGGCCGUAUGUGGAGGUCAGAAGACAGCUUGUAAAACUCAACUCUCUUCCUUCAUCAGGUGGAUCUGGGGAUUAGACUCGGGGCAUCAGGCUUGGCAGGAAGCACUAAAAAUGGUUUACAUUUGUAUAAAGUGC
rnacentral:lncRNA from 1 species